rnacentral:antisense_RNA from 1 species
AUACCCGAAGAUGACUCCCGGACUGAGGGUGGGAUUGGUGAUCAGUCGGACAUCACCACCACCUGGGGCCCAGGUGUCAUAAACACCGCCAAAGAACAUGGCCUUGAAGACCAGGAGAAGGCAGCCAACCCCAAGCAAAAUGAGGUGAUAACCAAUGAUGUUGGUCAUCUGGUUCUUGUCACGCCA